ACGGCGAGUGAAGCGGCAAUAGCUCAAAUUUGAAAGCUGGCCCCUUCGGGGUCCGCGUUGUAAUUUGUAGAGGAUGAUUCGGCGAGGGCUCCCGCCUAAGUUCCCUGGAACGGGACGUCAUAGAGGGUGAGAAUCCCGUAUGCGGUGGGCUGCCUUAGCCAUGUGAAUCUCCUUCGACGAGUCGAGUUGUUUGGGAAUGCAGCUCUAAAUGGGAGGUAAAUUUCUUCUAAAGCUAAAUACCGGCCAGAGACCGAUAGCGCACAAGUAGAGUGAUCGAAAGAUGAAAAGCACUUUGGAAAGAGAGUUAAAAAGUACGUGAAAUUGUUGAAAGGGAAGCGCUUGCAGCCAGACUUGUCCGCAGUUGCUCAGCCGGUCUCCUGACCGGUGUACUCUUCUGCGGCCAGGCCAGCAUCAGUUCGGGCGGUCGGAUAAAGGCCUUGGGAACGUAGCUCCUCUCGGGGAGUGUUAUAGCCCAGGGUGCAAUGCGGCCAGCCUGGACUGAGGAUCUCGCUUCGGCUAGGAUGCUGGCGUAAUGGCUGUAAGCGGCCCGUCUUGAAACACGGACCAAGGAGUCUAACAUCUAUGCGAGUGUUUGGGUGUCAAACCCAUACGCGUAAUGAAAGUGAACGGAGGUGGGAACCCUCACGGGUGCACCAUCGACCGAUCCUGAUGUCUUCGGAUGGAUUUGAGUAAGAGCAUAGCUGUUGGGACCCGAAAGAUGGUGAACUAUGCCUGAAUAGGGUGAAGCCAGAGGAAACUCUGGUGGAGGCUCGCAGCGGUUCUGACGUGCAAAUCGAUCGUCAAAUUUGGGUAUAGGGGCGAAAGACUAAUCGAACCAUUAACUACUAGUGGGUUUAAG
rnacentral:rRNA from 1 species